rnacentral:antisense_RNA from 1 species
CUUCAUGGACCCCAGCCACAGCGGCCGGCGCGAGUGCCGGUCGGACGUGCGGCUCUGACCGUAGGUCGCCAGCAGCGCCGCCGCCUC